rnacentral:rRNA from 1 species
UACGGAGGGUGCAAGCGUUAAUCGGAAUUACUGGGCGUAAAGCGUGCGCAGGCGGUUUGUUAAGUCUGUUGUGAAAUCCCCGAGCUCAACUUGGGAAUUGCAAUGGAUACUGGCAGGCUGGAGUAUGGUAGAGGAAGGUGGAAUUCCAGGUGUAGCAGUGAAAUGCGUAGAGAUGCGGAGGAACACCGAUGGCGAAGGCAGCCCCCUGGGCCAACACUGACGCUCAGGCACGAAAGCGUGGGGAGCAAACAGG